GGAAUUUUUCACAACACCGAAUGAAUGGCUGUUCACGCAUUUGUUUUAAAAGUUUCGUCUAAAAGUUCUUGAAUACGAUAUGACUGAAACCCGCAGUCACUUUUCUUGGUAAGGAGUUGCAUUUUGGAGAGCCAGACUAUGAUAGCCUUAGCAUUUCUAUAAAGUGAUAACAUAACUUAAAGAAAUUCAAAACUUUUCCUAUAUAACAUUAACCAUAGCCAAUUAAAGAUAAAUUUUUCAUUUUUUUUUAACUGGUUAUGAUGUUGGAUGCCAUUUUUUUAAACGAAACAUUGGAAUAGCAUGGAUCUCUCCCUAUAAGCACACUAACUUCUAAGUGUAUCCUACGUCAUAGACCAUAUAUUACAAUGUGAAGAAAAUAUUGAUUGAAAAUUUUUUAACUCAUCUCUACUCUGUAUUCACUAUAUAUUACAUAAAGACUGCACCUGUACUGAAGACAAACACUGCACUUGCACUUGGACUGAAGACAAAAACACUGCACUUUGACUGAAGACCAAAACACUGCACUUGGACUGAAGACAAAAACACUGCGCUUGGACUGAAGACCAAAACACUGCACAUGGACUGAAGACACUACACCUGGACAAAAUAUCCAAGUUGAAUGGGACUAGGGACCACUGGAACUAGCUCCUUAAAAAAACAUAUUCAUUAUUGACCUCUUUAUUGAUAUGUUAUGAUGAAAUCAUGUUUUUGAUAAUUGCAUUGAUUAAUGAUCAUGCAUUAAAACAUUGGAUUGACCUCGACCCAAGACUUAUAGUUUCUCCAGAGUAUAAAUGAGUUUGCUCGUUUAAAGUGUAUUGAAAAUUUCAAUUAAAUAUUUACCAUUUUGUUAACAUUUAAUAGCAUUAGGCUAAUGGCUGGUGCACCAAUAUAGAUUUUCAAUAAUUGGCUCCAAUUUAUUUUUAUUUUUUUUAAAUCAGAAAAUUGCAACAUCAAUAAAGUUGAUAAUUAUUUAUAGCUUUUGUUAAAGAUACAGCCUUUUCUUUAAUAUAUGUUGCCACUUUGGACUGAAGAAGAUGGAUUCAUGGCAGAAAGGAGGAGUCAACCUGUAUGUAUUUGGUCAUUGCAGUUUUUUUUAAAACUAUGUUUCUAUUUGAAUAGACAAUAAGAUCAUUUUUUUUUCUCAACAGUUUGUGAAAAAAAAUACUUCAUAUUAAAUUGGGACUUGUAAAAGCAGACCUCUGCCGAGAGCAAACUUUAGGUUUCAAUUUAAGAAUGACAUGAAGUAUGGGCUUUGCUUAUUGUUGAAAUUGUCGUACGGUUACCUAUAAUUGUUAAAUUCUGUGUCAUUUUGGUCUCUUGUGGAGAGUUGUCUCUCAUUGGCAAUCAUACCACAUCUUCUUUCUUUAUCAAGAUUAAAUUCUGAAAAAUUGCAACAGGAAAGAGUCGGUAUUUAAA